CCUGCCUGUAAGCGGGGAAUAACCCGUUGAAAGACGGACUAAUACCGCAUAAUACUAAAUUACUGCAUGGUAAUUUAUUUAAACAUUUAUGGCUUACAGAUGGGCAUGCGCAUGAUUAGCUAGUUGGAGAGGUAACGGCUCCCCAAGGCAACGAUCAUUAGGGGUUCUGAGAGGAAGGUCCCCCCACACUGGUACUGAGACACGGACCAGACUCCUACGGGAGGCAGCAGUGAGGAAUAUUGGUCAAUGGACGAGAGUCUGAACCAGCCAAGUCGCGUGCAGGAAGAAUUGUCCUACGGAUUGUAAACUGCUUUUGCAGGGGAAUAAAGUGCAUCACGUGUGAUGUUUUGUAUGUACUCUGCGAAUAAGGAUCGGCUAACUCCGUGCCAGCCGCUGC
rnacentral:rRNA from 1 species